rnacentral:lncRNA from 1 species
GUUUGGUUUGGGCUUGAGUUCAUGUACUAACUAGUGUUGAUAAUCCCUGAAAUGACCUUGCUUUCAACCAAAAACCAAACCCUGUUUGCAAUCGAUAUCUAAAAUAAGCCCCAGGAUGGUGUGUGAGCUGCUAGUCUCCUCACUGUGGUUCCUUUUUGUCAUCUUCUGGGUGGAGACCAUAAGUGUGUGGCUGUUCCUAUGCAUCUUCUACCAGGACCAGGCAUUUUAUCACUGGGGAGAUGGGGUAUUUGCAGAUGACCCCGGCCAAAUGCUGUACAUGUUGAGCAGAGUGGAUCCCUCUGGACAGAUGCAGACCUGAAACAGUGAAAGCAUAUGAGGAACAGCACAUAAUGGAUUGUUCUCUCCAGAUAUAAAAUGAUGGGAGCUGUAUGUUUGAGACACUCCUAUAAAAUAAUGAGAAUCAGUAGUAUUUUUCUACCUCCCUGCUCCUGGUUCCCUCCUAGAUUUAGCGCAUGGUCAUUGUCAACAUGAAGAAACUGCAUUGAAUGCAGUUGGAUUGUUGUUGGAUAUGGGUAGAGACACCCAGCUUGGCAAGAAGAACCAGGGAGGGGGUCUUGCCGUAACUGUGGAAUAGAUGCAUAGUGAGGCAGCUAAGUGUUCCCCACCAAAGCAUGAACCAUCAUACAUAUGUUCUAUUUCCAUUGUCUGUGUUAAUAUGUGAUAUAGGUCAAACAAUGUGGGAAAACACUUGGCAGAUGCUUUGAAAAAAUAUUUUUACAUGAGGUUUAGUCCAUAGCCAAUGUCAUUUUUGUGGAUUUCGGCAGACUUGCACAUUAUCAUGGUUGUACACAUUUUAGUUUGUUUAUUUGUUUGUUUUCACAUCUGUGUCUGUAUACAUCAUCUGCUUCAGUCUGGGCACUUACAUAACAGUGUCACUGGAUUGUUUUGCUAUGUAAAACACUAACAACAUUAUUGACAUGAUACACAUUCAAUUAAAAACUUUACUCUUGGAAAUCUUCCAACAUGACGAUAAUAUAAUAUGCACUCAUCAGUAUUUUGUCAUUUGCGCUCAAACUAAAAUGUUGAAUGUAGCUUUUUUUUUUGCUGUUGUAAAGCUCACACCACACUAAUAAUGUCAUGAAUGCUCUUCUAGCAAAUGUGGAAAAUUAUUACAAACCUUAGAUGAAUUCUACAUUUUGACUUGUACCUGUUCAUAACUUGUAAAUUGUCUUCAUUGAAGAUCAUCCUUCUGUAAUGUCAGUCAGCCUAACACAAGUAUUGUCUUUGUAAUGUUGACUUCUUCUUGUUUAGGAAAGUGGCAUGUUGGGUUAAACUGGGCAGUGACACCAAUGGUACGUUUGGUUUUAUUUGUUUGCAUCUGAAGACAAUAAAUUCUGAC